GACACAAUUACAACUGGGAGAAUGGCUAGAGCCUGAGACCAGAAGUAAAAUGGUAAUGAAAGCAGAACCAUGGAUUUUUUGUCAUUGGCCUUGUGCCUGUUAUUAGUGGGACUAGUGGCAAAGGUCUCACAUUGAGUGUUCUGGGUAAUAUUGACACAUUUACCCUAGACCUGUGUUGACGAACCUAUGGCAUGCAUUGCAGUGAGGGCUGAUCUCUUCCCCCCUCCACUGUGCUUGAGGACAUUUUUUUCACAUCACCUGCAGCCCAGUGGGAAUGCUUCCUCCCUCCCCUGUCUGAGAUAAGGAAGAUGAAGCCCAAAGUAACGAAGAGACUGUCCAUGUGUACACAGCAGGUCUGGAACUAAAAUCCAGGCUUCUUACACCUCAAGACUCUCAGGGAAGAGGUAGUGGAUAAUUGUCUGGAACAAAGAAUUGAGCUUUAGCUUUAAAGAGCUUUAGAAUCUCUUUAGAAAUUGUAGAGAGAUUUUCUUGUGACAAUACCCCAGUAGAUUUGAGGUGAAAUGCCUGGGAAGUGGUUCUGAAAACUCCAGGAGAAACUCCACAGUCAAGUACACAGAGCAGUGAUGACCAGAUCAGUGAAUGACUGCCUGGCAGAAACUACAUAGCAUGUGACACCAGUGGCGCACAAUCCCAGGAGGAACAUGAUGACAUAGUCAGAUGACAUAGAUAUCAAGUCUUUAGCAGAAUCUAUCAGAGAAUUGAGCUUCUUGACCACAAGUAUGCCUUAAACAUUUUCCCUGUACCUCAUUGCACAUGCAACCUUGUGUGUGCCUUCUGUGUACAUGCUCCUCCACACAAGUUCCUUAGGUGUAUCCAUUUUUCCAUGAUGUGAGACCGUGGGAAAGGACUUAUGGGAGGAAAUGUUCAAUUGCCACCUCUCUCACUGUACUAUUUGAUGAAAUCCUUUUGCCCCGAACUCAUUGCUUCAUCCAUCUGACUGGCCAAAAUAAAAGCAUUGGUUAGGAUUUGUGAGCUAUAUUC
rnacentral:lncRNA from 1 species